UGGAGAAAGGCUUGAGUCGGAGAAUAUUCGGGUCGGAAGACAGGAACCACAUGGCCACAUGAUCAUGGCACAUGGUAAACACUAAAACAGAAACUCGAGGAGAAAACAAUAGGGCUUGCCUAGAAAAGAGGAUUGGUUAUCAUUUCGGACUAAAAAGUCGGGAUAGAGGAUUCAUCAAUGACUGCAGCAUCCAUCACAAAAUCUGACCAGUUUUGGACACCGGGUAUGGACUCGACAUUAUACUUGGCAAAACCGAGGUACCAUAUUACUGAAGCUAUGUGAGAACAGACUCCAACUACACGAGCUCCUGCACGACAUCUGCAGUACCAAGCUGUAAUGUUGGACUCUGUGAACUGAAUCCAGAGGAGGUACAUCUUGGAGGAGAUAUGUCUGCUCUGAAGCUUGACCCGAAUUAGUCCAGGAAACUCUUUAUGUAGCAGUAUGUUGACGUCACCAUCUAGGUACUCCUGAACAUAACUCGGGCAAAGCUUCAGCUGAUAAACCCCACAAGUUAAGUUUCUGAUUUCUUCCUCAUCAAGUCUAGGAAAUUCAAGAGAUUCUGGAGCAGUGUCCCAGUUAACUGAUCUUCUGUCCAAGGAAUUUUCCUCUACAAAUGUCUUGAGAGUGUUGAUUUGAGUGUAAAGAUGCCUCAUUUUGGCUGCCAGGGCUAUGUCAUCAUCAAGAUUGCCAGACGAUAGUGGUUUGUAAUAUUUGUUAGAUAUUGCACAAACAAUUCGCACGUAAUCGCCAAUAUAGGGCACUUGGUUGGUAGGAAGUGUAUGGGCGAGAUAUUUCCAGUGUUUGAUUCUCGAAUUCGCAGCCUCCACUACCCAACGGAUCUGCAAAAAUAAAUGAAGUGUGUAGUUUUGCACAGGAAACCCAACAGCAAAAAAAGCAUGUUACCUUUGUGACUAGCCGGGAAGCAUUAGCAUCAAGAUCUGACAUCUGCUUAUCACCUUUGCCUAGCAGACAUGGCAUCUGUGCCUUUAUACCAAACUCCUCCAGCACUUCAAUGGCAUCCCUAAAUCCCCGGUCCACGAUAAAGACAUCAUCAUCUUUAAACCAGUUUUUCAUGUCUUCAACGUUGGUUUUCAGCAUGUGGUUCAAAAUGGAUGCAUCAUUGUUUUUAUAAUCAGCCAAAUAGGGGCCAACGACAGAUAGAAAAUAGCCAUCAGUGGAUACAACAACCAUUGGUUUAAGAAGUGGCCUGCCCUUAUGAGUGCUGUAUGAUCUUCGUUGAAAUUGAAAAUUACUGCUUUUUUGGAUGUAGAUGUAAGUGCCGUCCAAAACUACAAUGACUUGUUGAUUAUUCAUGUUGCCAAAAAGUUCUUGAGCUAGGGGUCGAGUAUGGUUUGUAAUGAUCUCUUCACGGGAAAUGUGUUGCAAGCCUAAGUUGUUUGGUACAAAAUUUUUUAGUAAAGCAGAACGGACUGAUUUCAUGGCUCUGCGAAGUGAUGAUUUAGAGAUUCCAAAUAUUGUGCUGAGGAGCUGGUAGGACAUUCCAGAUCUUAGCUUCAAGAGGAAAAUACCAAGGGACAUCCUGGAGCUCCUAUUCUGUGUGUUUCUUACAUCACCUGCUAUGGCUUUGUGAAGAUCAUCAAAAUUUUCUUUUGUGAGACUGGUGAGUGUGACAUAAUCACUGCUAUUCAUACUGGAAGAGUCAAAAGUGAAUUUUGAAGAAGAUUUCAAAGCAUAUUCUCUAAUCUUUCUGAUGAGUUCUAAUAUUGUUGUUCUGUUUAGUAAUGAGGAGUCCAAGGUGUUGAUAUCUUGCAGCACUCCAGGAGUAAAAUCCCCAUCUUCAAUAUGUGAAGGGCAACAUCUGCAUCCUGGUGGAAUGAUUAUUUCUCUGUUGAGGAAGGCAUUAAAUCUAGCUGAUGGAGGCACAACCAUAAGUUUGGGACCUGGACGCCUACAGACAAAACAGUAUGCAUGGGAAGACGCUGUCCUGUGGAGAGGCAUAGAUAUGGAUGGUGGACUUGACACAGCUGUUUUUUGUUGUUGAUUAUUUUGUUGUGUUGUUGCUUCUCUGCAUGAAAUUUUUUCACUUUUUGUUUGUUGCUGUUUAUAGUAUUUAUGCCUACAUUUGUUGCACAGGAUGUCAUUUGAACUUGCUUCUACGAGAAAGUUUCUUCUAAGAAAACGGCGCAUUCCAACUGUUUCACAUUUUUUUCGAUCAUUUGGUUUAGUCCUCUUUUUGCAUAGGAUGCAGGGAUAAUACUUAUGGCUGUAUUCGUCUUGUUUUUCCAUUUUUUAUGCUCUAAAAAAAGAAAGGAAAAUUGUGUUUGAAUUCAGUUUAAAUUGUGAAUUACAGCACAUUUCAGGUUUUUUUUAUGAGUAUGGUUUUUAUUCCUUUUGGUAUUUUUAUGUUUAAAAAAAUAUUUUACGGUUUAAUUUGUUAUUUUUUGUUAAUAAUGUUGUUAACAAAUCAAGAAUGCUCUUUAUAGACCCUUUUCCUAUGACAUAUUUUGCCUAAGAGUUAUUCCCCUUACCCCCUUGUAUGGCAACAUUCCUAGAUCCCUAUAUUAUUCAUCCAAGGUCAAUUUGUUAUACAUUUGUUAAAGCCUCUAUUUAAUCCAUAAUUUUAAGAUUGUAAAUAUUUUUCUCCAUAUAUUUCUUGCAUACAUGUUUAAAAUUGGCUGCUCAAAGAGGUAAAUUCAUUACUUUGCCCUACAAAUGGUGGCUAAGGGGAAUAACUCCUAGGCAAAAUAUGUCAUAGGAAAAGGGUCUAAUACAAUGAACACUAAAGAUUUUUAUUAGGAUGAGUUCUAAAUUGUAAACAAAACUGAUUUCCAAGGUCUUUUUAAAAUUUUUAGAUAAAUUAUUAAAAUUUAUUUUGCUAAUAUAAAUUGAUUCUACAGUUUAUUCUGCAACACUGUAUGAAAUCAAAUAAGCAAGAAAGUUAGUGCUUUCUAUUUAUUAAUUCAUCAUUCGUAUUUAACGGAAAUGUUGAUAAAUGAUUGAUUUCUUCUGUUGCAGCUUGUGAAAAUGUAUGGAGAGUAUGCCACUUUAAUAUAAAAAAAAAAAAAAAAUGCUGCAUGUCCGGGGAAUCGAACCCGGGGCGCUGGAUUGGGUGGCGGACACGCUACCCCUAGGCUACGGAGGCGUGUGGAUUUGAUUGAUUUAGAAGAGGUACACUCUUUUGGUUUGGUUGUUUAUAUCGAAUCGUUUGCUUCUAUAUAUUCUGUAAAAUUCUUUUUUCUUAUGUUUAUUAAAGUAUUCAUAAAAGAU